rnacentral:rRNA from 1 species
UACGAAGGGGGCUAGCGUUGUUCGGAAUUACUGGGCGUAAAGCGCACGUAGGCGGAUAUUUAAGUCAGGGGUGAAAUCCCAGAGCUCAACUCUGGAACUGCCUUUGAUACUGGGUAUCUUGAGUAUGGAAGAGGUAAGUGGAAUUGCGAGUGUAGAGGUGAAAUUCGUAGAUAUUCGCAGGAACACCAGUGGCGAAGGCGGCUUACUGGUCCAUAACUGACGCUGAGGUGGACGAAAGCGUGGGGAG